rnacentral:tRNA from 1 species
GCCGGGAUAGCGGGAGAGCAACAGACUGCGCUUCUGGAGGUCGCGUGUUCAAUCCACGCUCCUGGCA